GCGGCCGAGGAGAUCUGGCGGCACGGGCAAGGAGGCGCCCCGCGCAAGCUCGGAGGCGGGCGGCGUUGGCAGGGAGGCGCCCCGCGGGGCCUCGCAGGCGGGCGGCGCUGGCAGGGAUCCACCCCGCACAGGGGACACGGGAUCCGCCGCCGCCAGAACAGAGGUGCCCCGCGCGGCCGAGGAGGCACCCGGGGACGCGGCCGGCGCGCCCAAGGCAGGUCGACACGUGGCCAAGCUGAGGGGUAGCAUGGCAUCGCUGGUGAGGCGGCCGGCCAAGCAGGCGCCAGUCAAGCAGGGCCCACCCAAGCAGUGGAGCCAGCCAGCCACGCAGCCAGCGCAGCCAAAGAGACAGGGAUGGAUUCAGCUAGUUGUUAUCUAUUGAAAAUUCAUUUGCUUGGCAAUCACAAAAAGGCUAGAAAGGAUGUCAAAUGUUUUACUUUCAAGAUGGUUGUUGAUUCAGAUUUGUCGAAUUAUAAGGAUUUCAUAGAAUCAGUUACAGGCAAGUACCCUGUAGAUUACUUGGAAGUUGCACAUGUCCAGUACUAUGAUAUUGUUCUUAAGAAUUUUUCAGAAGUAAAAUCAAACCAUGAUUUGAUGUCUAUGUUUGAUAUACACUGUAAGGAGAAAGUUGUGCAGAUGUUCGUCUCUUAUUGUGAUCCCUCUAAGACAUUUGAGCCUAUCACUGAGUGGGAGUUUGUUGGUGAAGGGCAGCCUGAAAACACAGUGUAGAAUGAGGAUGAUUACCCAGAGGAUGAACGUGUUGGUGUUCACGAGGAGACCAUGUACUUGACAUUGCCCCUGGAUGUUCUGAGAAAGGGAAGGAAAUUGUACCAGUGGAGACUAAUCCUACAGAGGCUGAGGAUGACUCAGAAGAUGAGUUUGAGGAUAACUCAGAGGAUGACUCAGAGGAAGAGGCAUAUGAAGAAGUAAAUCCGCACCAAUUCUUGAUUUUGAUCAAGAAGAUCCUCCUAUGGAAGUAUGCAGUACUUAUCGUGACAUGUCAGAAUUCAAGUUAGCUCUUUGUCAACAUGCAAUCAAACAUGAGUUUGAAUUUAAGACCAAAAAAAGUUCAAGAAGGAGGUUCUGAGCCUAUUGUGCAAGGAAAUUGGAGGAUAAUUGUCCAUGGAGGCUUCAUGCAUCUACAACAGUGGACAAGUGGUGAAGAGGAAUAAUUUUUCUCAUGCUUGUUCUAGCAGUAGAAGGAAAAAAGACCGUACGAAAUGCUGCCAAACAUUGGAUAUGUUGGAAGAUGAAGGAUUUUCUGAUACAAGAGCCUACUUUGGGAGCAAGAGCUUUGCAAAAGAAACUUAAAGAGCACCACAAGGUGAGCAUUCCCUAUCACAGGGUAUAUAAGGGUCAACAACUUGCAUUGAAACGACUUUAUGGUGAUUGGGACAGCAGCUUCGAUAACUUGUUUAGUUUGAAAGCAGAAAUUGAGAGACCUUGUCCUGGUAGCUCAGUCAUUAUUGAUCAUUAUACAGUAAAUGGGAAAAUCAGAUUCAGGAGAUUUUUCUUUGCCAGAAACCUUGUAUAGAUGGGUUCCUCAAUGGUUGUAGACCUUACUUGGCAAUAGACAGCACAUUCCUGACAGGCAAGUUCAAAGGGCAAUUGGCUAGUGCUUCUGCAAUUCCUGACACGCACAUAUAUGCUAAGCAUCACCAAUCAAGCAUGGUGUAUACACAAAUGCUUCACGUUCACCACAAUUGUAGGUACCUCCUGCCAGGUUUAUGUCUCCUAAAUACUGAACCUUUGAGCUGUUCAAACAACAAGCCAUGGCCGCGGACCCUCCGUGACACAGGAAGAUAACCUCCUUGUACGGAUGAAAUCCGAGGAAUUCGACAUACCACCAGGAACCCUUCUCUUCAUCGUCCGAAGCGUCGACGGUGCUGCCAUCGUCGACGUCCGAGUUCCAGCAAGCAUCUUGU